GAGCCACCCAGGCGCCCAGCCCUUGCUCCUAUUAACCUGAAAAGUAAAACUGCCAGUUAUUUUACCAGCAAAAAUGGGUUUAUUCCGGGAAAAGCAGAGAAUUACAACCCAGGACGAGCAAGCUGCAGCAAAACCGUGGUAAUCUCCAAGACCAACAUGGGGCUCGAACUCGCGACCUCAAGAUCAAGAGCCGCACGCAUGCUCUAUGGACUGAGCCAGCCAGGUGUCCCCGCAGAAAACUUUCUAUCAUCCAAAUCAGCUUUUAAGAGGUUUUAUUUAUUUAUUCAACAGAGAGAGAGAGAGAACACACAGCAGGGGGAGUAGCAGAGGGAGAGGGAGAAGCAGACUCCCCACCGGGCAGGGAGCCCCAUGCGGGGCUUGAUCCCAGGACCCUGAGAUCAUGACCUGAGCUGAAGGCAGACGGUUAACCAACUGAGCCACCCAGGUGCCCCUCAGCAUGAUUCUUCUUCAUCCAGGUUGUUGUGUGUAUUGAUAGUUUGUCCCUUGUUAUUGUUGAAUGAUAUUGUCUGGUAUGGAUGUAAAUCUUUUGUGUAACCAUCUACUGCUUGAAGGACGUCUGGAUUAUUUCUGGUUUGGGCUAUUAUAAAUAAAGCGGUUGAAAAACACUUAUGUACAGGUUUUUGUGCGAACAUGUCUUCAUUUCUAUGGGAUAAAUGCCUACAGAUGCAAUUUCAGGGUUGUAUGGUAGUUGUAUGUUCAACUUUUAAAGAAACGGCCAAACUGCUUUCUUGAGUGGCUGUACCAUUUGUUAUUUCCAUCAGCAGUGUGUGAGAUAUCCAGUUUCUCUGCGUCCUCAGCAGCAUUUGGUACUGUCCCUGUAUUUUACUGAUGUCAUUCUGAUAGGUGCAUAUUGGUAUUUUGCUAUGGUUUUAAUUUGCAUUUCAUUAAUGACUUAAUGAUGUUAGAUAUCUUUGCAUGUGCUUAUUUGCCAUCUGUGUAUCUCCUUUAUCGAAAUGUCUCUUUGUAGCUUUUGCUCAUGUUAUAAUUGGAUUGCUUGCUUUUUUUUUAGCUCUUGUGUUUUAAGAGUUCUUUAUAUAUCUUACAUAGUAAUCCUUUGUUGAAUAUGUGAUCUGCAACUGUUAACCUUAAAAAAUAAAACUGCCAGUUACUUAUUAUUUUUUAACUAGGCUCCUUGCCCAGUGUGGGGCUUGAACUCGCCACCGGGAGGUGAAGAGUUGCAGGCUUCACCGACUGAGCCAGCCAGG